GCUCCAGGUUAUUGCCGAACCCGGAAGUGCUCCUUUCAUUUCCGUGGGGAAGAGGCGGUUGACGAAAAGGGGGAAACGGGAGUGGUGCCCAGAGGCAUGACGGGAAGUGUGGUUUUUUUCACCUAAUUUGAGCUCCACCUGUCCUACCAGCCGAUUGGCCCAGUGAGCUAAGAAAUCAGGAUGGGGGAGCAACUUUUGCGUUAAAUACAGCUCACAAAUGAUCUUUCCUGCCCGUUCUCAAACCAUGAAAUUUCCGCACUUUCUGAUAUAGAGGCCUCAGAAACAUCUUUGAUUCCUUUCUCCAGGGGCUCACUAAGCCCUGUGGUUCUACGUCUAUUAUUAAUUCUUUCAACAAGUAUUUAUGAGUCCUGCUAUGUGACAGGCUCCAUACUUGGCACAGCGGAUAAAAAGAGGAAUAUGACACAGAUUGCAAAAGAGAGACAAGUAAACGGAAAUCAGAGCAUAGUGAUUGCGUAAUAUGUGCAGAGGCUGAUUUAAUCACAGGGAGCACAGAGGACGGUACCUACAUCAAAAGGGAUCUGGGGAGGUUUCCUGGAAAAGGUUUCAAACAAAGCCAUAAAUGUUGAUGUAGAUAUCGGACAGUGUUUCAAGCAAUUUAGAUACAAUAUAAAAUAUACUGAUGCCAUAGUAGAAGAAGUUGAAGCCACUUUGCCAAGAUACUUGGUUCUGAAGAUAAGAUUGUAUAAGCCUAGGAAGGGCUGAAAAAAAAAAGGAAAAUAUUCUAAAAUUGUCGUCUCGUGAAGAGAAGAUCAAACAGUUUGGAGCUAAAACAUGUAGGGAAAAAAGUAUCAUAGAGAUACAAAGGAAGUUUUUCUUGGCCUGGUCUUGACUUAACAGUGACUUUAGUACUAUCCCGUUCAGACACCUCAAGUCUUCAGAAGAAACCAGAUGAUGUUAAAGUAUAUCUAGGUACCCAAGAGAGAUGCAAAUUACCCCACCAGCUGUAUUCCCUCAUGUCAGGAAAAAGAGGAUCCCAUAUAUUUCUUGUCUAAUACAAAAUCGCAGAAGGCUGAAACACAUUAACUAGAAAAGAGAAUGCAAUUUGGAUUCAACUACCUGCUGUCAUGAAAGGUAACAAUAGUUAAUAAUGUUUGCAACUCACAGGAUGUUAGAGAUAAAAGAGUCCUCAAAUAUCCUCCAGCAAAAUCUCUCUCCUUUUACAAAUGGGCAAACUAAAGACGAGAAGAAAGAUGAGUCAAGCCUUCAGUCUUAUGCUGUGAUCUGAUGAUGAGCUAUGAAAUCACUGUCAAGAGAGCCCUUCCAACCACCUGUGCUCCUGGAAUUCAUGAGGGAAACACAUUCCUAAAACAAAACCAGCAACAUCAACAUAUUACCAAAUGCUAGGCCGGGCGCCGUGGCUCACGCCUGUAAUCCCAGCAGUUUCGGAGGCUGAGGCGUGUGGAUCAUGAGGUCAGGAGAUCGAGACCAUGGCAAAACCCCGUCUCUACUGAAAAUACAAAAAUUAGUGUAUUUUUGGUGUGGUGGCAGGCGCCUGUAGUCCCAGUUACUCGGGAGGCUGAGGCAGGAGAAUGCCAUGAACCCGGGAGGUGAAGCUUGCAGUGAGCCGAGAUCGCGCCACUGCACUCCAGCCUGGGUGACAGAGCAAGACUCUGUCUCAAAAAGAAAAAAAAAAAAAAAGAUAUUACCAAAUGCUCUUUUUCCACUCUUAUUCUUCAAUCUCCAGUAAUUUAACACUCUGUUAACUAUAUUAUAAUUUAAAAAGUUCAGGAAUAAGCUGGGCACUGUGGUUCAAGCCUGUAGUCCCAGCACUUUGCAGAUCACUUGAGUCAAGGAGUUCAAGACCAGCCUGGGCAACCUGAAGAAAGCACAUCUCUACCAAAAAAAAAAAAAAGAAAAAAAAAUUAGCCUGGUAUGGUGGUGUGAGCCUGUAGUUGUAGCUACUCGGGAGGCUGAGGUGGGAGGAUCACUUGAGCCCAGGAGCUGGAGGCUUCAGUGAGCCAUGAUUGCUCUACUGCACUGCAGCCUGGGCAACAGAAUGACAGCCUGUCUCAAAAUAAAAAUCUACUGUAGGAGUGGCUGGCAAGAUAGCCAAAUAGGAACAGCUCUGGCCUGCACCUCCCAGCAGAAGGUAAGUGAUUUCCGCAUUUCCUUUUUUUUUUUUUUUUUUUUUUGAGACUGCGUUUCACUCUCAUUGCCCAGGCUGGAGUGCAGUGGCGUGAUGUUGGCUCACUGCAACCUCUGCCUCCUAGGUUCAGGCAAUUACCCUGCCUCAGCCUACCAAGUAGCUGGCAUUACAGGCAUGCACCAUCACGCCUGGCUAAUUUUGUAUUUUUAGGAGAGACAGGGUUUCGCCAUGUUGGCCAGGCUAGUCUAGAACUCCUGACCUCAGGCCAUCCACCCACCUCAUCCUCUCAAAAUGUUGGGAUUACAGGCAUGAACCACCACGCCCGGGUUGCAUUUCCAGCUGAGGUACACGGCCCAUCUCACUGGGACUGGUUACACAGUGGGUGCAGCCCAUUGAGGGCAAGCUGAAGCAGGGUGGGGUGUCACCUCACCUGGGAAGUGCAAGGGGUCGGGGAACUCCUUCCCCUAGCCAAGGGAAGCCAUGAGGGACUGUGCUGUGAGGAAUGGUGCAUUCCAGCCCAGAUGCUACACUUUUCCCAUGGUCUUUGCAACCUGCAGACCAGGAGAUUCCCUUGGGUACCUAUGCCACCAGGGCCCUGGGUUUCAAGCACAAAACUUGGAGGCCAUUUGGGCAGACACUGAGCUAGCUGCAGGAGUUGUUUUUUUUUUCAUACCUCAGUGGCACCUGGAAUGUCAGCCAGACACAACCUUCACUCCCCAGGAAAGGGGGCUGAAGUCAGGGAGCCAAGUGGUCUAGCUCAGCAAAUCUCACCACCAUGGAGCCCAGAAAACUGAGAUCCACUGGCUUGAAAUUCUCGCUGCCAGCACAGCAGUCUGAAGUUGACCUGGGAUGCUUGACCUUGGUGGGGGGGAGGGGCAUCCACCAUUACUGAGGCAUGAGUAGGUGGUUUUCCCCUCAUAGUGUAAACAAAGCUGCUGGGAAGUUUGAACUGGGUGGAGCCCACUGCAGCUCUACAAAGCAUCUGUAGCUAGAUUGCCUCUCUAGAUUCCUCCUCUCUGGGCAGGGCAUCUCUGAAAGAAGGCAGCAGCCCCAGUCAGGGGCUUCUAGAUAAAACUACCAUCUCCCUGGGACAGAGCACCUGGGGGAAGGGGCCACUGUGGGCACAGCUUCAGCAGACUUAAAUGUUCCUGCUUGCCAGCUCUGAAGAGAGCAGUGGAUCUACCAAGCACAGUGCUUGAGCUCUGCUAAGGGACAGACUGCCUCCUCAAGUGGGUCCCUGACUCCCGUGCCUCCUUAUGGGGAGACACCUCCCAGCAGGGGUCAACAGACACCUCAUACAGGACAGUUCUGGCUGGCAUCUGGUGGGUGACCCUCUGGGAUGAAGUUUCCAGAGGAAGGACCAGGCAGCAAUCUUUGCUGUUCUGCAGCAUCCACUGUUGAUACCCAGGCAAACAGGGUCUGGAGUGGACCUCCAGCAAACUCCAGCAGACCUGCAGCAGAGAGGCCUGACUGUUAGAAAGAAAACUAACCAACAGAAAGGAAUAGCAUCAACAUCAACAAAAAGGAUGUCCACACAAAAACCCCAUCCACAGGUCACUAACAUCAAAGAACGAAGGUAGAUAAAUCCAAGAAGAUGAGGAAAACCAGUGCAAAAAGGCUGAAAAUUCCAAAAACCAGAACAUCUCUUCUCCUCCAAAGGAUCACAACUUCUUGCGAGCAAGGGA